rnacentral:rRNA from 1 species
GACGAACGCUGGCGGCGUGCUUAACACAUGCAAGUGGAGCGACGAACCGGGGCUUGCCCCGGGGCAGAGCCGCGAACGGGUGAGUAACACGUGGGUUACCUGCCCCGAUGACCGGGACAACCCGAGGAAACUCGGGCUAAUACCGGAUGUGGUCUUCGGACGAAAGGAAGCUUUUAUUAGCCUCCGCAUUGGGAUGGGCCCGCGGCGCAUUAGCUUGUUGGUUGGGUAACGGCCUACAG